CAGGCGGCCAGCACGGCCCGGUGCGCCGGGAAGCUCUCGUCGCCCACCCGCAGCAGCACGUCGCAGAAGCGGCCGCCGUUCUUGCGCUGCUGGUUGAGGCUGUGCAGCAUGUCGGCGCUGUGCCGGCUCACCUGACAAGUUGAGCAUUAUUGGCCUGAGACUUGGAAGACUGAGUCCUUUAUUCUUGAAGUGGUGGCUGCAAUCUACCUCCCCACACCACAUCGUGACAGGAAGUAUCAUGUGAUCAGAGCUGUGGGGAGACACCCAAAGGUUUGGACUGUGUUUUUGUGCAGCACUAAGUCCUUGUGGUAUAUCAGAGACCCACAGGCCUCUCCACAAGAGCCACAGAACAUACUUAUUAGGUAAGAGGUGGGUGGGAAUCCACUUUUAGGUAGUACUUUAAAUUUAUUUUAAGAGCUAGUGUAACCGCUCUUUGUAAAGCCCUCAGUUCCUUGGACUGCUUAAGAAACUAAAUUUUCAAUACACAAUAAACCAAACAAGUAUCUAUAGUAAAGAGCUUCCCCUUUAAGGGAUAGUAACUUUUCCUUUAUUAGUUGUCCUCCAGAAUCAUUUGGCUUCCAGGUCCUGUGGAUCCUCCCCUUAGGCUAGGGAGAGGUCGUUUAGCAGGAUCACUUUAGCACUUCCUGGAUCCCAAUAGGACCAAGAAGCC